GGGACAGCUGGACGGGGGGAUGCUGUCCCCACUGCCAACCUCGGGGGGUCCGGAAAGCGUGGGGAGGGGGCGGCGGGGGUCAGCAGGAGGGGCUUUGCAGAGAGAUUGAAGGCCGGGAUCCCUCUGAACAAUGGCACGGCUGGAGAGCCGGCCCGGGUGGCUGCUGAGCUGUGUCUGCUGGGCCAAUUCAACCCCCGGGACACCCCCGAGCCCCUCCCGCCUGCCCCGGGGGUCCUGGGGGUCCCAUCCAUCCACCCCCCACGGCCACCCUGCGCAGCCUCAACUCCCCAUUUCCUCCUGUCCCACAGCUCCGGGGAGAAGCAGGGCUGUCCCCAUUCCUCAUUGACCUGUCCCCAUCCCUGUCCCCAUCCUCAUCCCUGUCCCCAUCCUCAUCCCUGUCCCCAUCUUCAUCCUUGUCCCCAUCUUCAUCCCUGUACCCAUCUCCACCCCUGUUAUCCUCACCCGUGUUCCCAUCUCCAGUUGUCCCCACUCCCAUUCCCGUCCCCAUCUCUGUUCCUGUCCCCUGUUGCCAUUCCUGUCCCCUUCCUGCCAUCUUGUUCCCAUCCUUAUCCCAGUCCUCAUUCCUGUCCCUUGUCCCUGUCCUCAUCCCUAUCCCUGUCCCUGUCCCCAUUCCUGUCCUGUGUCCCUGUCCCCAUCCCUGUCUCCAUUCCUGUCCCCAUCCCUGUCCCUGUCCCCAUUCCUGUCCUGUGUCCCUGUCCCCAUCCCUGUCUCCAUUCCUGUCCCCAUCCCUAUCCCUGUCCCCAUUCCUGUCCUGUGUCCCUGUCCCNCCCCAUUCCUGUCCUGUGUCCCUGUCCCCAUCCCUGUCUCCAUUCCUGUCCCCAUCCCUAUCCCUGUCCCCAUUCCUGUCCUGUGUCCCUGUCCCUGUCCCCGUCCCCAUCCCCAGUCCUGUCCCUUGUCCCCAUCCUUGUCCCUGUCCCCAUCCUUGUCCCUGUCCCCACUCCUGUCCCCAUCCUUGUCCCUGUCCCCACUCCUGUCCCCUGUCCCCUGCUGCUCCCGCUGUCCC
rnacentral:lncRNA from 1 species